UACUUUUUUACUGUAUGGUACUGCGUUAAACAUUUUCCUCUAUGAAGAGGAACCAAACAAAAUUUACAUAAGCAUCUAGAUUUGCUCCUUUUUCCUUGGGCGGCACAAACUCUGCAGGCUCUCGUAGGAAAUUUUUUCUUUCCACUCGCUGGAAUACACGUAGGUUCAUGCUGCUUCAUAUCACCUGACAACCUUUUGGGUGGAUCUUUACGAGGUGCUCUCCUUGCACCCCCAGGGGAAGGGCUGGACAGAUUUGUCUCUGGUUCCGGAGAGCCUUCAUUAUUGUCAUCUGUUACCCAGUCUCUCGCCACCAAUAGCAGAAACUGUUUAUACUUCAUUUUUGCUUGUGGAUUGAGGACGUUGUACACUCUAAAUGAAUUGAAAAGUCCACAGUUUAUAAGGUACAGCACUACUUUUUUUGUCCAUUUCAUCGUUUUCCUUAGAAUGGAACAACACGAAAGGAAUUGACCUGCAC